GAUGAACGCUAGCGGCAGGCCUAACACAUGCAAGUCGAGGGGCAUCAUGGCGUAGCAAUACGCUGAUGGCGACCGGCGCACGGGUGCGUAACGCGUAUGGAACCUACCCACCGCAGGGGGAUAACCCGCCGAAAGGCGGACUAAUACCCCAUGGUUCCCCGACCCUGCCUGGGGUUGGGGGUAAAGCCUACGGGCGGCGGUGGAUGGCCCUGCGUGCCAUUAGCUGGCUGGUGGGGUAACGGCCCACCAGGGCGACGAUGGCUAGGGGGUCUGAGAGGACGAUCCCCCACACUGGUACUGAGACACGGACCAGACUCCUACGGGAGGCAGCAGUGAGGAAUAUUGGUCAAUGGGCGAAAGCCUGAACCAGCCAUGCCGCGUGAGUGAUGAAGGCCUUCGGGUCGUAAAACUCUUUUCCGAGGAAAGAACGACCGGGGUAGGAAAUGACCCCGGUGUGACGGUACCUCGGGAAUAAGCAACGGCUAACUCCGUG
rnacentral:rRNA from 1 species